rnacentral:rRNA from 1 species
AACGAACGCUGGCGGCAUGCCUAACACAUGCAAGUCGAACGAAACCUUCGGGUCUAGUGGCGUACGGGUGCGUAACGCGUGGGAACCUGCCCUUAGGUUCGGAAUAACUCCCCGAAAGGGGUGCUAAUACCGGAUAAUGUCUUCGGACCAAAGAUUUAUCGCCCUUGGAUGGGCCCGCGUUGGAUUAGCUAGUUGGUAGGGUAAAAGCCUACCAAGGCGACGAUCCAUAGCUGGUCUGAGAGGAUGAUCAGCCACACUGGGACUGAGACACGGCCCAGACUCCUACGGGAGGCAGCAGUGGGGAAUAUUGGACAAUGGGCGAAAGCCUGAUGCAGCAAUGCCGCGUGAAUGAUGAAGGCCUUAGGGUUGUAAAGCUCUUUUACCCGGGAUGAUAAUGACAGUACCGGGAGAAUAAGCUCCGGCUAACUCCGUG